rnacentral:rRNA from 1 species
UACGUAGGGGGCAAGCGUUGUCCGGAUUUAUUGGGCGUAAAGAGCGUGUAGGCGGCUUUACAGGUCCGUUGUGAAAACUCGAGGCUCAACCUCGAGACGCCGGUGGAAACCGUAAAGCUAGAGUCCGGAAGAGGAGAGUGGAAUUCCCGGUGUAGCGGUGAAAUGCGCAGAUAUCGGGAAGAACACCGGUGGCGAAGGCGGCUCUCUGGGCCUGUCCUGACGCUCAGGCGCGAAAGCUAGGGGAGCGAACAGG